rnacentral:rRNA from 1 species
AGUGAACGCUGGCGGUAGGCCUAACACAUGCAAGUCGAACGGCAGCACAGUAAGAGCUUGCUCUUACGGGUGGCGAGUGGCGGACGGGUGAGGAAUACAUCGGAAUCUACUUUUUCGUGGAGGAUAACGUAGGGAAACUUACGCUAAUACCGCAUACGACCUACGGGUGAAGCAGGGGAUCUUCGGACCUUGCGCGAUUGAAUGAGCCGAUGUCGGAUUAGCUAGUUGGCGGGGUAAAGGCCCACCAAGGCGACGAUCCGUAGCUGGUCUGAGAGGAUGAUCAGCCACACUGGAACUGAGACACGGUCCAGACUCCUACGGGAGGCAGCAGUGGGGAAUAUUGGACAAUGGGCGCAAGCCUGAUCCAGCCAUACCGCGUGGGUGAAGAAGGCCUUCGGGUUGUAAAGCCCUUUUGUUGGGAAAGAAAAGCAGCAGGUUAAUACCCCGCUGUUCUGACGGUACCCAAAGAAUAAGCACCGGCUAACUUCGUG